rnacentral:rRNA from 1 species
UGCUUCCUACGGGGCGCAGCAGUAGGGAAUCUUCCACAAUGGGCGAAAGCCUGAUGGAGCAACGCCGCGUGGGUGAAGAAGGUCUUCGGAUCGUAAAACCCUGUUGUUAGAGAAGAAAGUGCGUGAGAGUAACUGUUCACGUUUCGACGGUAUCUAACCAGAAAGCCACGGCUAACUACGUGCCAGCAGCCGCGGUAAUACGUAGGUGUCAAGCGUUAUCCGGAUUUAUUGGGCGUAAAGGGAACGCAGGCGGUCUUUUAAGGCUGAUGUGAAAGACUUCGGCUUAACCGGAGUAAUGCAUUGGG